ACCGGAUAAGACAGCUGAUGAUAGCCGGGCUGAAGACUCUUGCUUGACUAGCUGAGAGGAGGUGCAUGGCCGUCGUCAGUUCGUACUGUGAAGCAUCCUGUUAAGUCAGGCAACGAGCGAGACCCACGCCAACAGUUGCCAGCAUGUCCUCCGGGAUGAUGGGGACACUGUUGGGACCGCCUCUGCUAAAGAGGAGGAAGGAAUGGGCAACGGUAGGUCAGCAUGCCCCGAAUUAUCCGGGCUACACGCGGGCUACAAUGGUCAGGACAAUGGGUAUCGACACCGAGAGGUGGAGGCAAUCUCCUAAACCUGUCCUUAGUUCGGAUUGUGGGCUGCAACUCGCCCACAUGAAGCUGGAAUCCGUAGUAAUCGCGUUUCAAAAUAGCGCGGUGAAUAUGUCCCUGCUCCUU
rnacentral:rRNA from 1 species